rnacentral:rRNA from 1 species
CCUACGGGUGGCAGCAGUGGGGGAUAUUGCACAAUGGGGGAAACCCUGAUGCAGCGACGCCGCGUGUGGGAAGACGGUCUUCUGGAUUGUAAACCACUGUCCCCAGGGACGAAAAUGACGGUACCUGGGGAGGAAGCUCCGGCUAACUACGUGCCAGCAGCCGCGGUAAUACGUAGGGAGCAAGCGUUGUCCGGAAUUACUGGGUGUAAAGGGAGCGUAGGCGGGGAUGCAAGUUAGGUGUCAAAACUACCGGCUCAACCGAUAGUCGCACUCAAAACUGCCGCUCUUGAGUGAAGUAGAGGCAGGCGGAAUGCCUAGUGUAGCGGUGAAAUGCGUAGAUAUUAGGAGGAACACCAGUGGCGAAGGCGGCCUGCUGGGCUUUUACUGACGCUGAGGCUCGAAAGUGUGGGGAGCAAACAGGAUUAGAUACCCUUGUAGUC